ACCAGAUUCAUUCCAAACCAAUAUACAGAAAACCUGAGAGAAACGAAAUGAAUUUAAAUGGAUGAAAAUAGGGCAGGAGAGUUAGAGUUUCUCUAUCUGCCAGUGGGGGAAAGCACUGCAAGAGAGAGGUCCCAUUCCCAUUGUAGAGGCUGGGAAACUGAGUCUCCAAGACGUUAGACUUUCAGCCUCCAUUCACCUGGAGUGAGAGGGAAAGGAGGACAGCUGGCCUGGAGUAGCCAGAAGACUCUGCUUCUUCUGGCUUAUAAAGGAGAGACUUAUACUUUAACCUUGGAGCAUAAGGUAAGUCCCUCAGGCUUGUUUUAUAGAAUUGUGGUACUGGCUCAUGGUUCGGUAGGAGCAGCAAAACUUCUCAGAAUGCGAGGCUACAAGCCCAGUCUCUAUGCUUACUAGCUGGCAGAUGUCCCUGGACCUCAGUGUCCCUGUCCACAUAUGAGGGAGUAAUGCCAGAUGGACCUAGUCCAGAGAACCUACCCUCCCAGGAGGCAGCCAGGCUCAAGGUAAAGUCCAGGACGGGGUCCCAUCCUGACUCCGCCCUGCCUUGCU
rnacentral:sRNA from 1 species